AAAUCUCAACUACACUUCUUCGGUGUGGAUUUGGAUUAUGGGAGUCUUUGCAGGCUUUUAACAAAGUCGGCUCUCCUGAAAUAUAUUAGUGGUGUCUGAGCAGACUACAGGUGUUGAUAAAAAAUCUUAUACCUUGGUUAAACUGCUACAACUGCUUCAAACAAAACAAAUUGUUGU
rnacentral:misc_RNA from 1 species